AGGAAAUUGGCCUCUUGGAUCUGAAUUUGGGAGACCACUCAGAAAGUGACCGAGCCCUGUGAUUGUGCUACCACGAUAUCCCCAUAUCACAGAUGAAGGGGCCAGAGCUCAGAAAGGAUGCUUCCUAGGAAGACGGUGAAGACAAACUGAGCCUUUAUGUCCGAAUGGCUCUUUACAACCUGCAAAAGGCACUUAUGGACCUAACUGAAUUUGAUCCUUCACUCAAACCCAGAAGCCA